GACGAACGCUGGCGGCAUGCCUAAUACAUGCAAGUCGAGCGAACAGAUGAAGUGCUUGCACUUCUGACGUUAGCGGCGAACGGGUGAGUAACACGUAAGGAAUCUACCUAUAAGCGGGGGAUAACAUUCGGAAACGGGUGCUAAUACCGCAUAAUAUCUUCUUCCGCAUGGAAGAAGAUUGAAAGACGGCUCUGCUGUCACUUAUAGAUGACCUUGCGGUGCAUUAGUUAGUUGGUGGGGUAACGGCCUACCAAGACGAUGAUGCAUAGCCGACCGGGGAGGGUGAUCGGCCACAUUGGGACAGAGACACGGCCCAAACUCCUACGGGAGGCAGCAGUAGGGAAUCUUCCGCAAUGGGCGAAAGCCUGACGGAGCAAUGCCGCGUGAGUGAAGAAGGCCUUCGGGUCGUAAAACUCUGUUAUAAGAGAAGAACAAAUUGUAGAGUAACUGCUACAGUCUUGACGGUAUCUUAUCAGAAAGCCACGGCUAACUACGUGCCAGCAGCCGCCGCAG
rnacentral:rRNA from 1 species